rnacentral:rRNA from 1 species
AGACCCGAAACCCGGUGAUCUAGCCAUGGGCAGGUUGAAGGUUGGGUAACACUAACUGGAGGACCGAACCGACUAAUGUUGAAAAAUUAGCGGAUGACCUGUGGCUGGGGGUGAAAGGCCAAUCAAACCGGGAGAUAGCUGGUUCUCCCCGAAAGCUAUUUAGGUAGCGCCUCGUGAAUUCAUCUCCGGGGGUAGAGCACUGUUUCGGCUAGGGGGCCAUCCCGGCUUACCAACCCGAUGCAAACUGCGAAUACCGGAGAAUGUUAUCACGGGAGACACACGGCGGGUGCUAACGUCCGUCGUGAAGAGGGAAACAACCCAGACCGCCAGCUAAGGUCCCAAAGUCAUGGUUAAGUGGGAAACGAUGUGGGAAGGCCCAGACAGCCAGGAUGUUGGCUUAGAAGCAGCCAUCAUUUAAAGAAAGCGUAAUAGCUCACUGGUCGAGUCGGCCUGCGCGGAAGAUGUAACGGGGCUAAACCAUGCACCGAAGCUGCGGCAGCGACGCUUAUGCGUUGUUGGGUAGGGGAGCGUUCUGUAAGCCUGUGAAGGUGGCCUGUGAGGGUUGCUGGAGGUAUCAGAAGUGCGAAUGCUGACAUAAGUAACGAUAAAGCGGGUGAAAAGCCCGCUCGCCGGAAGACCAAGGGUUCCUGUCCAACGUUAAUCGGGGCAGGGUGAGUCGACCCCUAAGGCGAGGCCGAAAGGCGUAGUCGAUGGGAAACGGGUUAAUAUUCCCGUACUUGGUGUUACUGCGAAGGGGGGACGGAGAAGGCUAUGUUGGCCGGGCGACGGUUGUCCCGGUUUAAGCGUGUAGGUGUGUGUUCCAGGUAAAUCCGGUUCACUUUAACACUGAGGCGUGACGACGAGGCACUACGGUGCUGAAGCAACAAAUGCCCUGCUUCCAGGAAAAGCCUCUAAGCAUCAGGUAACAUCAAAUCGUACCCCAAACCGACACAGGUGGUCAGGUAGAGAAUACCAAGGCGCUUGAGAGAACUCGGGUGAAGGAACUAGGCAAAA